rnacentral:rRNA from 1 species
GAUGAACGCUGGCGGCGUGCCUAAUACAUGCAAGUCGAGCGAACAGAUGAGGAGCUUGCUCCUCUGACGUUAGCGGCGGACGGGAGAGUAACACGUGGAUAACCUACCUAUAAGACUGGGAUAACUUCGGGAAACCGGACCUAAUACCGGAUAAUAUAUUGAACCGCAUGGUUCAAUAGUGAAAGACGGUUUUGCUGUCUCUUAUAGCUGGAUCCGCGCCGCAUUAGCUAGUUGGUAAGGUAACGGCUUACCAAGGCGACGAUGCGUAGCCGACCUGAGAGGGUGAUCAGCCACACUGGAACUGAGACACGGCCCAGACUCCUACGGGAGGCAGCAGUAGGGAAUCUUGCGCAAUGGGCGAAAGCCUGACCGAGCAACGCCGCGUGAGUGAUGAAGGUCUUCGGAUCGUAAAACUCUGUUAUUAGGGAAGAACAAAUGUGGAAGAAACUAUGCACGUCUUGACGGUACCUAAUCAGAAAGCCACGGCUAACUACGUG